rnacentral:lncRNA from 1 species
AGAAAACCUAGGACUCAAGCUGGGACCGUGGAAAGAGAAAGAAAGGAAGAAACAAGAAAAUAGAGAAGAUUUUCAAAUACAUGAUAGAGGAAUACAGCUGAAUGCCAUGACAACCAGGUGCCAAGGAACUUCAGAAUCUCCAAAUGGAAGUCUCCAAAGCCCCUGAUUCACCAGAAAGAGAGAAAACCAUCCACUGGCCACCACACUGUUAUAUGAGCAGAACACAAACUCCUGUUGUGUUUGAGCCUGUAAACAUUCUGGGCAGCAGAUUAUCCUCUUUAACAUACAAAAUGAUGCCUCAAAUAUGCCUACAAACAAGUAAAAUCAGCUAUCCAG